rnacentral:rRNA from 1 species
UACGUAGGUGACCAGCGUUGUUCGGAAUUACUGGGCGUAAAGCGCGCGUAGGCGGACCUGCAAGUCGGGGGUGAAAGCCCGAGGCUCAACCUCGGAACUGCCUUCGAUACUGCGGGUCUCGAGUCCGGGAGAGGUGAGUGGAAUUCCUAGUGUAGAGGUGAAAUUCGUAGAUAUUAGGAAGAACACCAGUGGCGAAGGCGGCUCACUGGCCCGGUACUGACGCUGAGGCGCGAAAGCGUGGGGAGCAAACAGG